rnacentral:rRNA from 1 species
AGAGUUUGAUUAUGGCUCAGGAUGAACGCUAGCGAUAGGCCUAACACAUGCAAGUCGAGGGGCAGCACAUGAAGUAGCAAUACGGAUGGUGGCGACCGGCGCACGGGUGAGUAACGCGUAUGCAACCUGCCUACAACAGGGGAAUAACCCGUUGAAAGACGGACUAAUACCCCAUAACACAGGGAUCCCGCAUGGGAAUAUUUGUUAAAGAUUUAUCGGUUGUAGAUGGGCAUGCGUUCCAUUAGCUCGUUGGUGAGGUAACGGCUCACCAAGGCAACGAUGGAUAGGGGAACUGAGAGGUUUAUCCCCCACACUGGUACUGAGACACGGACCAGACUCCUACGGGAGGCAGCAGUGAGGAAUAUUGGUCAAUGGACGCAAGUCUGAACCAGCCACGUCGCGUGAAGGAAGACGGCCCUACGGGUUGUAAACUUCUUUUGUAAGGGAAUAAAGUGUAGUACGUGUACUAUUUUGCAUGUACCUUACGAAUAAGGAUCGGCUAACUCCGUGCCAGCAGCCGCGGUAAUACGGAGGAUCCGAGCGUUAUCCGGAUUUAUUGGGUUUAAAGGGUGCGCAGGCGGGAGAUUAAGUCGGCGGUGAAAUUUUGCAGCUCAACUGUAAAAGUGCCUUCGAAACUGGUUUCCUUGAGUGUGGAUGAAGUAGGCGGAAUUUGUGGUGUAGCGGUGAAAUGCAUAGAUAUCACGAGGAACUCCGAUUGCGCAGGCAGCUUACUAAACCAUAACUGACGCUCAGGCACGAAGGCGUGGGGAUCAAACAGGAUUAGAUACCCUGGUAGUC